UACGAGGGGGCAAGCGUUGUUCGGAAUUAUUGGGCGUGAAGGGCGCGUAGGCGGUGCGGUAAGUCACCUGUGAAACCUCUAGGCUCAACCUAGAGCCUGCAGGCGAAACUGCCGUGCUUGAGGGUGGGAGAGGUGCGUGGAAUUCCCGGUGUAGCGGUGAAAUGCGUAGAUAUCGGAAGGAACACCAGUGGCGAAGGCGGCUCACUG
rnacentral:rRNA from 1 species